UACGUAGGGGGCAAGCGUUGUCCGGAAUCAUUGGGCGUAAAGCGCGUGUAGGCGGCUCGAUAAGUCCGCUCUGAAAGUCCGGGGCUCAACCCCGGGAGGCGGGUGGAUACUGUCGAGCUAGAGUCCGGAAGGGGCGAGUGGAAUUCCUGGUGUAGCGGUGAAAUGCGCAGAUAUCAGGAGGAACACCGGUGGCGAAGGCGGAUCUCUGGGCCGAUAUGACGCUGGAGGAGCGAAAGCGUGGGGAGCGAACAGGAUUAGAACCUUACCGUAGUCAGUCCAA
rnacentral:rRNA from 1 species